rnacentral:lncRNA from 1 species
AAGGAAUUGGAGUCAAAAGACAAAAAGAUGAGUCAUUGGAAAUUUUUGGAACAAUGAGAUUUAAGCCGAAUUUGCGGUUUUGAAGGCCACUUAUGAUAUUUUCAUUUUUUUGUGUUGAAAUUUUGAAAGAAGUUAGAUUGCAUUGUUGGCUUUUCAACAAGCUAUACCGUGCAAGGAAUGGAGUUGUGAAGAAGAAGAUCCAAGAAAAUUUGUGAGAAAGGGGUUGGUGGAGUUUUUGGGAGGAGAGAUUCAAUGCUAGUUUGGAGUUUUCUAUGCCACUUCUUGCAUUUUUAUCUUUUUGUGUUGAUAUUUUGAAGUAGCUAGAUUUAAUUGUGAGCUUUAUAACAAGCUAUAGCAUGCAAAAAAUAGAGCCAUAAAGAAGGAGAUCAAAGCAAAUUUGUAAGAAAGAGGGUCGCUGGAGUUUUUAGGUGGCAAGAUUCAAGACUACUUUGAGGUUUUUUAUUGAAUUUCUUAAAUUUUUAUCUUUUUAACCUGAACUUUUGAACAAAAUUAAAUUGUAUUGUUAGCUUUUCAACAAGCUAUAGUACAUAAGAAAUAGAGCUAUAAAGAAGGAGAUCCAAACAAAUUUGUGAGAAGAUAUUGGUAGAA